AUGAAGAUACUAGCAUCUUUUGGAAUCCUGCUGAGGGAAUUGGACAAAUGUGCAGGUGUCUGGAGAUCUCAUCACUUCCCAGAGAUUAUCACGGUGGGCGACAACACAGGCAUACAGCUGAGACAUUGGCCAGGACUCUGGAGAAGCAGAGGACCAAGGACCUUGUGCUUAAUGAAGGAUCAUAAAAAAUAGGAAGAAGUCCAACCGGAA
rnacentral:lncRNA from 1 species